UACGAAGGGGGCUAGCGUUGCUCGGAAUCACUGGGCGUAAAGGGUGCGUAGGCGGGUCUUUUAAGUCAGGGGUGAAAGCCCGCAGCUCAACUGUGGAACUGCCCUUGAAACUGAUAAUCUUGAGUGCGGUUGAGGUAGGCGGAAUGUGUCAUGUAGCGGUGAAAUGCUUAGAUAUGAUACAGAACACCAAUUGCGAAGGCAGCUUACUAAACCGUAACUGACACUGAGGCACGAAAGCAUGGGGAGCAAACAGG
rnacentral:rRNA from 1 species